rnacentral:rRNA from 1 species
AUUGAACGCUGGCGGCAGGCCUAACACAUGCAAGUCGAACGAAUGGCGGACGGGUGAGUAAUGUCUGGGAAACUGCCUGAAGGCGGGGGAUAACUACUGGAAACGGUAGGUAAUCCCGCAUACCAUCAGCUGUGCCCAGAUGGGAUUAGCUUGUUGGUGGGGUAACGGCUCACCAAGGCGACGAGCCCUAGCUGGUCUGAGAGGCUGACUGGCCACACUGGAACGGAGACACGGUCCAGACUCCUACGUGAGGCAGCAGUGGGGAAUAUUGCACGAUGGGCGCAAGCCUGAUGCAGCCAUGCCGAGUGUAUGAAGAAGGCCUUCGGGUUGUAAAGUACUUUCAGCGGGGAGGCGUUACCCGCAGAAGAAGCACCGGCUAACUCCGUGCCAGCAGCCGCGGUAAUAC